UGGCAAAAGUACAAUGCCCAGCAUUACGAAUCAUAUGCAGCAUGAACAUAUAACAUAUAUAUGGAUGAGUUAGAUCGACAUCAGUAGGUCCUAUUCAACCCUAUUCCUGCAUGGUUUUGGGCCUCAGCUUACUUAGUUGGCGAGGGUCCGAAUAGAAAUUGUUUCGCUCUGAUUGGCUGGCGAUUCACUGCUGAGACAGGAUUCACUACGAAGUUCGACACGCAGUAAAAUGGUGGAGGAACGAGCGCUUAUUUAGGGAGGAAGAGAAACGUGCAGAUAUAGGAUCUAAGUACAAUACAUGCAUAUAUAUAUAAAAUGUGAAACAUGCACGACCGAAAGAAAACUUCGGGAGCUGAUUGUAUGCCUAAAAAAAACAAUAGAAAAAAAUCAUACUGGUACAUAAACACGUGUCUCGUCUGCCUUCGUUUAUAAGAGAGUCUGCUACGUUCGUAAAAUUCAUUGUAUUCAUCACAAACGAUGACAGACAGAACCUGCAUAUAUUUAUGAUUUACGACCUUUUUUCAUUGUUCUCUAGGCGUGUACCCCCAACACGCGCGCGCACGCACACACCAUAUAUUGUAUACUAAGUAUGUAUUAUCGUAUGUACAUAUACAUGUACACGUGACGUAUACUAUAGGAUACGUUGCGCAAUAAAUAUCAUUUCGGUGGGAAUGUCCCCCUA